UAGGGAAUCUUCCACAAUGGACGAAAGUCUGAUGGAGCAACGCCGCGUGAGUGAAGAAGGUUUUCGGAUCGUAAAGCUCUGUUGUUGGUGAAGAAGGAUAGAGGCAGUAACUGGUCUUUAUUGACGGUAAUCAACCAGAAAGUCACGGCUAACUACGUGUCAG
rnacentral:rRNA from 1 species